UUACGUAUUCGUUCGGCUGGCCCC
rnacentral:miRNA from 1 species